CACUGCACUAUACCACCGCUCCCGUCCCCCAAAUCCCCAAAUCCCCUCGAACCCUAGCCGCCCCUGCCCUCCCCACGAACCCUAGCCGCCCCUGCCUUCCCCUCGAGCGCGAGCCGCGGCCGAUCUAGCCACCGGCGGGGUGCCGCGAGCAGCGGCCGGUCCAGCCACCGGCGUGUGGCGCAAGCAGCGGCCGGUCCAGCCGCCGGAGGGGCGACGCGAGCAGCGGCCGGUCCAACCACCGGCGGGGCGACGGGAGCAGCGGCGUGACCUUGACCUCUCCAGGUUGCAGAGGUGGAAAGGAAGCAGAAGAGGGUGCCGUUCGACCAACCUCUCAGGACAAGCUGCUCACGGAGGUGCCCAAGUACAAGCGGACUAUGUUCUCUGUCCUCCCCUAGGCCAUUAACUCGUCCAGCAAGCAAGGCAAGUAAACUAGGUAACAACCAAGCUGACUAGCACAGUUCCAAUUCCUGUGAGAUCCACUAUGACAAAGAUGACAACGAGCAAGAAACUCGCAGAAGCGCCAACUGCUGAAUACGAGAAGAUUAGGGCUAAAAAUUUGAUGAGGAACAACCGCAUAUUCCAAUCACUUGGCAUCGCUGCAUUAGGUAUGAUGGUUAGGAACUCAAAUCGAAUGCAGCAAAGUAGUGUCAUCACCGAUGGGGACUCAGCUUCUGCCAUAACACAACAAGGCUCAAGCUCUGAGUAGAGUCCUGACGAUGAGGUCAUUGAGGAGGAUGAAGUUGAUGAUAUUGUAGUGGAGAAGGAAGAUACGGUUCCUAAGAAGGCAAGGAAGUCGAUCAAUAAAAAGACAUGAUGUCUGAAGAUAGAUAUGUUGUCUUUAUCUCUACCUUUCUUUACUAAACAUCAGUUGUGCUACUUGGAGAGAUGAUGAUAACAUUGAUUUGCAUGCUAUUAUGGCUGCAUACCCUUUUGAACUGCAACUUGGAUUGCAAUCUUUAGGAGCCUUUGUGGUUGCUCCAUUAAUUCUCAUACAUCUUUUUCCAUGGUAGGAAACCUGUCAGUCGAACAAGGAGAACCGUUUCGAAGUUAAGUUCCAUCAGAAAACUGGUUCUCGCCCCUACAUUUCCCAUGUGCAUGCUUUGAAAGAGGCUCGUAAGGGUGAAGAGUUGACUUUGUUUGAUCUAUUCAAGGAGUGCCACAAUGGCAAGAAGACUGGUUUCUCUGAGCCAGUUAAGAAGGCGAUAGCAAGUUUCUACUAUUCUUUUCUGUGUUGAUGAGGCUUGUUUACCUCAUCCUUGUUACACUUGAUUACAUUAUAUGACUUCUGCUCGACAGAUUUGAUAGAGAUGGGUUGUUCAAAGUAGUACAGUAUAUGAUUCAUGUUUUGUUAUA